GCCUGGUUAGCUCAGUCGGUGAGCAUGAGACUCUUAAUCUGAGGGUCGUGGGUUCGAGCCCCACAUUGGACG